rnacentral:rRNA from 1 species
GAUGAACGCUGGCGGCGUGCCUAAUACAUGCAAGUCGAGCGAACAGACGAGGAGCUUGCUCCUCUGACGUUAGCGGCGGACGGGUGAGUAACACGUGGAUAACCUACCUAUAAGACUGGGAUAACUUCGGGAAACCGGAGCUAAUACCGGAUAAUAUAUUGAACCGCAUGGUUCAAUAGUGAAAGACGGUUUUGCUGUCACUUAUAGAUGGAUCCGCGCCGCAUUAGCUAGUUGGUAAGGUAACGGCUUACCAAGGCAACGAUGCGUAGCCGACCUGAGAGGGUGAUCGGCCACACUGGAACUGAGACACGGUCCAGACUCCUACGGGAGGCAGCAGUAGGGAAUCUUCCGCAAUGGGCGAAAGCCUGACGGAGCAACGCCGCGUGAGUGAUGAAGGUCUUCGGAUCGUAAAACCUUGUUAUUAGGGAAGAAAAAAUGUGUAAGUAACCAUGGCCGUCUUGACGGUACCUAAUCAAAAAGCCCCGGCUAACUACGUG